rnacentral:rRNA from 1 species
CUGGCUGUAAAUGAUGGAUACUCGGUGUUGGUGGAUUAUGCCCAUCAGCGCCCAAGCCAACGCGUUAAGUAUCCCGCCUGGGGAAUACGGCCGCAAGGCUAAAACCCAAAGGAUUUGACGGGGGCCCGCACAAGCAGCGGAGCGUGCGGUUCAAUCCGAUGCAACACGUAGAACCUUACCAGGGCUUGACAUGCUAGUGGUAGCAAGGCGAAAGCCAAGUGACCCGUGGGCAUCUUGCGAUGCACAUAGGGAGCUAGCACAGGUGC